AGGAUGGUCUCUAUCUCCUGACCUCGUGAUCCACCCACCUCGGCCUCCCAAAGUGCUGGGAUUACAGAUUCUGGUCUUUCUUAUGGGGAACCUGAGUUCCUGCAUUAAAGUUCCCCCAGAAGAUCAAUGGAAGGUGGAUUCCAAAGAGUGGGCAAGUGAGGACCCCUUCUCUGUUACCAAGGUGACCCCAAGGAACACAGUAAAUGUGGCGGCUUAUUUGGCCUCCCCAGGACGGACUGGAGCAUCAGUAGUGCCUGAGUUCAUCAAAGGACAGAUGCUCAAGACACCUUGAUCACCAUUAGGUGGAAUUGAAGGAGCCAAAAAUGGGCGCAGUGGCUCCUCAGCAGAGACGCUCCUGAAUGUAUAGACAUGGGAACCACUUUCAGCAUCAAAAAAGGAAACGUUCUGCAUGCCCAUAUCCAGAAAAAUCCCCACUCGCUGUAACUUGCGGUCUACUAAGAGGAAAGUCAGCGGCACCGUGCUGGCAGAGAGGCGGCUUCCAUCCCUCAAACUCACAGUCCAGAAUCCAAGCUCUGUGGUCAGCUGGAUCUUCCCUUUGCAGUGAACAGAUUCUCUGCAGACUCCCAGGUCCCAUUCUGUGCUUGUUCCCACGUCCACCUCCCAGUAGUGGCGGCCACAGGUAAAGCGAGGGGAGCCCAGGAUGCAAACGGACACGUCAAAUCUCUCGGCAAGGUCUUGCCGAUUCUGUGUGAUGAGCCCACUUCGGACGCUCCUGAGGUCGUCAGAAAUGAGGAGGAAGUUGUUGGCUGUGUCGGCAUCCAAGGUCAUAUCCACUGUGAAAAGGAAAACAAGUUGCUCAGCAAGUGGACAGAAGCCAACCCCAUGCCUCUCUUCUACUUCAAAGGCCCAAAUAUCUCCUGACUUUAGUUUCUUUAAUUCUGUUUCUUCCUCCAAAAUCAAAACUUUUCAUGAGGAAACUUCCCUAUUUCAAAUUUUCAUAGGUAUGCUUUGUGGCAAUACGUGACUCUUAUUCACAGUAGCAAUUCUUAUUUUACUUUACGUCACGUGUUUGCUUCACUGAACUUUUCUUCAUUUAGAGUGGAGGGUCUCUGAAGGCAGACACCAUGCCCCCCUUUCUACCACCUUGAUGUGUGAACAAAUAAAUGAUAAUUAAGACAA
rnacentral:lncRNA from 1 species